GAUGAACGCUGGCGGCGUGCCUAAUACAUGCAAGUCGAACGGAGGUCCGCAAGGAUCUUAGUGGCGAACGGGUGAGUAACGCGUUGGUGACCUGCCCCGGAGUGUGGGAUACCAGGCCGAAAGGCUUGCUAAUACCGCAUGGGCAAAGGGACGACUAGACAGCCCUUUGCAAAGGAGUAAUCCGCUCUGGGAGGGGCCUGCGACCCAUCAGCUAGUUGGUGAGGUAACGGCUCACCAAGGCGACGAUGCGUAGCCGACCUGAGAGGGUGAUCGGCCACAUUGGAACUGAGACACGGUCCAGACUCCUACGGGAGGCAGCAGUGGGGAAUAUUGCACAAUGGGCGAAAGCCUGAUGCAGCAACGCCGCGUGAGUGAUGAAGGCCUUCGGGUUGUAAAACUCUGUCUUUGGGGACGAUAAUGACGGUACCCAAGGAGGAAGCCACGGCUAACUACGUGCCAGCAGCCGCGGUAAUACGUAGGUGGCAAGCGUUGUCCGGAUU
rnacentral:rRNA from 1 species